rnacentral:lncRNA from 1 species
AUGGGCCAGGGCUCUUAUUUCCCACCCCGCCACCACUCCGAUGCAGCAUCGGCAGAGUGUUCUUGGCAUCACCACACUCUUGGCAAGUGCUUCGCGUUUCAUCUAGAACUCAGAGACCGUUCUAGUUGCACAGAAGGCUGCGAACAAGAUGGCCUCCAGCCCAGAGAGGUCUGGGCUGGCUGCCGGGGGCUGACUUCCCCAGGACUCAUCCCCAGCCCCUCCAACUGCACCCCUUCUGGAAGAUUGCCUCACUCCAACCUCAACAUCCCCCUUGCCUUGGAAGAUGCUCUUUCUUCCCCCUGGAAUAUUCCUCAUCACCGUUCUGUGCCCUAGAUCACCUGGGCUGGGAUCCAGGUGCCUCUGCCCGAGCUAAGUCCCUGCUCUGUGCCCCCAGGGCACCGUGGAUUCGCCCAACCAUGCAUGACAUCCAGGACACUGGAAUGCCCUGCUCUCUGUCUGGCUGCCUCCCGGCCGGGACCCUCCAGGAGGGCAGGGACAGGGACCACGAAACCCUCAGUGGAUGUUUGCAGAGUGGACACAUGGAGAUUGGCUGGCUCCUCUCAUUUUCUGGCUCUACUUCCCUCAGAGGCAAUACCUUCAGAUGGCAAUAUAUUCAUUUCAUCUGGACCCACUUCUGACAGCCAUUUUGUUCAGUAACAGAGAUGCUGGAAUGAUGUGCCUGUUGAUUUUGGGGGGGGGGUUGGGUUUGCUUUUGAAACCGAUGGGUUCAUUUCCUCUGGACUGCUUGUCUCAAAUAAUGGUGCCACGCAGACCAGAGGACAAAAGAUUCCCAAGUGUUUGACCUGCUUCAGCCUGUGUUUUGGGGCUAACACGUGGGUUUGCUGCAGUGACCGUGGAGCUCUUGCCAGAGCUGGGCUCCCAGGACAGAUGUUGGAAUGCUCUGCAAUUUCAGAUGAGUCUUUUCGUGGUCAGGUGGGCAUCAUUCAAGGAGAGAUGUAUGGUCUAUCUGCCUGAUGAGGUGUGAGCCUCACAGUGCGAGCCUUUCUCUCACCUAAUAACCCCCUGGCACACCCAGUUGGCAUUCUGGCACUUGGGCCACCUCAUGGUGCAGAGCGGGGGUCACCAAAUGACACCCCUCAAGCCAAAUCUAGCCCACAACCUGUUUUUGUAAAUAAAGUUUUGUCGGAACACA